UAAGACUAUUGAAGUGUUUCAAAAGGAAACUCAAUAAAAAUUUAGCACUUGUAGCAAUAGUUGCCUCAUGAACAACUCUAUCAAUCUCAUCAGUCGUCACAAUCUACCUACUUAGAAUCAAAAAGGGCGUAUAUAAACUACAAUUUUGAACUAUUAAUAGGCUGUCAAGUUCACAUUUAAUUAAGCAUAGUGAAAUUCUAGAAAGAUACAAAUGCUACGAUUGGGACAAAGAAGAAGUAGGGGCUAAGAACAUAAGAUUAUCAGAUAUAGACCAUUCUAAACUAAUUCUAAAGCAACUUUACGGACUCAUAGUAUGAUCAAUCUCACAUGUUCAAAAUAUCGAAAACAGAUCUCAUAACAUAAUGUGUAGCAGUUCUUCAAAAACAUUAAACAAUGUUCAUCACUCCAAUUGUGGCAAAUCCACUGAAAGUAUCAAUGAUAUUAAAAUCAUUAGCAUAAACAAGUAGAACACGAUUCAGAUAUCAUAUAAGAUAGUAACAACUCAUUAACUCUCAUAAAAGAAACCCUUUAAAGUAGGUAAGAAUUAAGAUAUUGAAAGGGAUUCAAGUUUUAUCACUCACCUUCAUAAAAAUAGUGUCGGCUUUUGGAACACUAACAAAAAUGUCAGUGUGAAAUUUGAUGUCAGGAAACUGCUACAGAAAAAUAGCAAUGUGAAAUUUGAUGUCAGGAAACCAUUGCUAAAUCAAAAUGGGGCAUCUUCGAUGACAUGGGGUAAAUCAAAAUUAAUACCCUUGAUAUUGGGAUACUUUUGAGACUAUCAUGUUUAUUAUAGCUCCAGUUCCACCACCAACAUCAACUAGAGAAAUAUGUUGACAAAGAAAUGGACAUUUUUGAACUUUUUGAAGGAUUGUGUUGAAUUCAUUGAUUGAAGCAGAGUGUUGUCUCUUUUAAAAACGAGAAGAUAAAAUAUCAGUUGGUAAAUUAGUAAAUUCCUAAAAGUUGGUGAAAUUCGUGAGUUAAUGCAAGAAGGAAAAGAAGCCUCUGAGCAUAAAUGCAUCUGUAGAAUUUGGUGAGUAUGUAUAAUGGGAGGCGAAUAAAAUUUCAAUGAGGAUGAGUUUUCCACGAAGGCUUGAAAAAGGGGCAUCUACACUUUACCUAAUAUGUCACUAUUAGAGGGAAACUUUAAACUAAUCACAUAAGAGUCAGCAUUUGUAGUUGCACCAAAGUACUAUUACUAUCAUAUAGAAAUAUAUAGAUACUUACUAAAAAUAGUUUAUGUUCAGUUUUUCUGACAAGCUUAGCAGUCUUGGCUUUCCCAUCGAGCCUGGGCCUCGUAGAACUUUGCUUCUGGUUAGUAUUAUAUGGCUGACUUAGGAAAUGUUUCAUUUCCCAUUGAGACAAGAGGAGAACGAACUAAUUUGUAACUCCCAGGAAAUGUUUAAGUUGAACUUGGAACAUGUCACCAAACAAUCAUUUAAAAAAUCAAAGUGAUAUUUCUACCUGGUAUGAAUAAAAUGGUUAUUUCUAAUCGAGAUAGAAAUGCAAAUUUGACUUGAGAAACCAGCAUCUCCCCUGCAUCCAUUACAAAUAAAAUAGAUAUUAUAAACUAAUAUAUAAUCACAAUUGCUUAUUGAGAAACCAUCGUUU
rnacentral:lncRNA from 1 species